rnacentral:miRNA from 1 species
UCAUUCAGGAUUGAAGCCGCC